CAGCCGCCGCGGUAAUACGAAGGGGGCUAGCGUUGCUCGGAAUCACUGGGCGUAAAGCGCACGUAGGCGGAUCGUUAAGUCAGGGGUGAAAUCCUGGAGCUCAACUCCAGAACUGCCUUUGAUACUGGCGAUCUUGAGUUCGGGAGAGGUGAGUGGAACUGCGAGUGUAGAGGUGAAAUUCGUAGAUAUUCGCAAGAACACCAGUGGCGAAGGCGGCUCACUGGCCCGAUACUGACGCUGAGGUGCGAAAGCGUGGGGAGCAAACAGGAUUAGAUACCCCUGUAGUCCCUGUCUCUUAUAC
rnacentral:rRNA from 1 species